GCUGAUAUGGCUCAGUUGGUAGAGCAAUUGAUUCGUAAUCAAUAGGUCGCGGGUUCGAGUCCCGCUAUCAGCU
rnacentral:tRNA from 8 species